GCCUUGAUGGUGAAAUGGUAGACACGUAAGAUUCAAAAUCUUAUGCUCUAAGCGUGGAGGUUCGAGUCCUCUUCAAGGCA
rnacentral:tRNA from 1 species